CGGCGGCGACACAGCGCGGG
rnacentral:misc_RNA from 1 species